UACGAAGGGGGCUAGCGCUGUUCGGAAUCACUGGGCGUAAAGCGCACGUAGGCGGAUCUUUAAGUCAGGGGUGAAAUCCCGAGGCUCAACCUCGGAACUGCCUUUGAUACUGGGGAUCUCGAGUCCGGGAGAGGUGAGUGGAACUGCGAGUGUAGAGGUGAAAUUCGUAGAUAUUCGCAAGAACACCAGUGGCGAAGGCGGCUCACUGGCCCGGAACUGACGCUGAGGUGCGAAAGCGUGGGGAGCAAACAGG
rnacentral:rRNA from 1 species